rnacentral:rRNA from 1 species
UACGAAGGGGGCUAGCGUUGUUCGGAAUUACUGGGCGUAAAGCGCACGUAGGCGGAUACUUAAGUCAGGGGUGAAAUCCCGGGGCUCGACCCCGGAACUGCCUUUGAUACUGGGUAUCUCGAGUCCGGAAGAGGUGAGUGGAAUUCCGAGUGUAGAGGUGAAAUUCGUAGAUAUUCGGAGGAACACCAGUGGCGAAGGCGGCUCACUGGUCCGGUACUGACGCUGAGGUGCGAAAGCGUGGGGAGCAAACAGG